rnacentral:rRNA from 1 species
GACGAACGCUGGCGGCGUGCUUAACACAUGCAAGUCGAACGGAAAGGCCCUGCUUUUGUGGGGUGCUCGAGUGGCGAACGGGUGAGUAACACGUGAGUAACCUGCCCUUGACUUUGGGAUAACUUCAGGAAACUGGGGCUAAUACCGGAUAGGAGCUCCUGCUGCAUGGUGGGGGUUGGAAAGUUUCGGCGGUUGGGGAUGGACUCGCGGCUUAUCAGCUUGUUGGUGGGGUAGUGGCUUACCAAGGCUUUGACGGGUAGCCGGCCUGGGAGGGUGACCGGCCACAUUGGGACUGAGAUACGGCCCAGACUCCUACGGGAGGCAGCAGUGGGGAAUAUUGCACAAUGGGCGGAAGCCUGAUGCAGCAACGCCGCGUGCGGGAUGACGGCCUUCGGGUUGUAAACCGCUUUCGCCUGUGACGAAGCGUAAGUGACGGUAAUGGGUAAAGAAGCACCGGCUAACUACGUG